AUUUAAAAUUAACAUUAUUAUUUCUCAUCCUACAAAGAUUCUCAUCAUUAACGCCCCCGCAACUGGCGUAGAGAGUCCAACACUCAUAUAAAUAUUAGUCUAUCCAUUACGUACAUGUAUUUUCUACAUGGAUACCAAGUUUCAAGUCAAUCGGAUGCACGGUUCAGUAGUCAUAACGGAACAUCCGUAAAAACCACUGUAGAUUUAUAUAUUAGUAUAGAUUGUCCAAGAUUGUUGGCUGUUCCUUUUGACUGAUGUUUGUUGGUAUUUUCGCUCUCAUAGCUCAACAUAGGGCAUAUCUUAAAUGAAAAUCUGCCAUCCCCUUAACACUAACGGCCGUUUUCAAUAACCUAUCUAUCCCUAGUUUCGGUUACUAAAGAUAGACAAAUCUAUAUUUUUGUCCUUACUUACGUUCCAAUAACCUAUCGACGGGCAGCAGUUCCUAUCGGAUUUAUCUAUCCAUCGUCGGGAGGACGGAUAGCCUGCUAAAGAUAGAACGCUCAUACAAAUCGUGCUUACUUUCGUUUCAAUAUGAGUUUUAAGUAACUCUCCGGUAGGCAGCGCUAUCUCCAGUAUGGGCAUUCGCUUAUCUGUCAAAAUCGGCCGGUUACAUGUUUAUCUUUCGAAAGUAAAUCGCUAUAAUUUAAUAAUUGUUUCUCUUCAUAAUGGCAUAUUGUAGCAGUGAUGAUAGUGAUAUGGAAUUAUUUCAAAUGAUAAUGGAUUGUGAUGCAGAUAGUGAUAGUGAGGCCGAUAUCAUAUGGUUAGGAAAAUAAAGAUCGUCUGAAUUACAUGGCGAAGAUCAAUAAUUACGAAUUUGACUAUAGAUUUCUGAGCAAAGGUGUUGUGAAUGAAUUGAUUAAUUUAAUGAGACCAUAUUUGAGUGUAACGUCAAAAAGAUUCAAAUAUAGGAGAGGAAUUUAGAAAUAGAAAAAGAGUAUUUUGAAUGUGUAAUUUGUGUGCAAUGCAUUAUUGAUGUUUCAAAAUGUUGUUGCUUGAUGGCCUGGGUCUACUCAUGAUACAACUAUAAUUAACCAUUCCGAUUGAAAAGAUGCAUUGGUGUUUGUAAAAGAAGACUCCCUGUAUAUCAUUGAAAAGUAGAUUAAAACUAGAAAAUAUGCAAGCUGUUAUUAUAGCUGCCAUGCUGCAUAAUAUCAUCAGAAGUAUGAAUUUAGAAGAAUUAGGAUCAGAAAUUUCAGUCGCAGAUACAUUACAGGAAAAUAAUAUAAUUGUUCGUAACAAUUUUUCAAAACUUACAUCUGAAAUACAACUAUGUACUUAUAAAUAAUUGCUUCCAAAGAUAAUUUAUAAAAUAAACUCCAAAGAUAA